CACCCUUGGCAAUGGGCAAAGACCCACCUUGUUGAUGGUGUCCCUGUACUAGUCAGGGGCAAAGCGGAUGACAAUCUUUUGUUCAUCCUAGCUUGAUGCCUGGCUUGGUGGGCAAAGCUGUCUUAUGCCUAGGACUCAAAA